rnacentral:lncRNA from 1 species
ACAACUCCCUUUAUGUGGCAGAAACUUAGCUGGGUGGGGCUUUUCCUGAAGACACAGUUCUGUUUAUUCCACUGCUAUCUGGGCUUCUCCUUAAUGGCAUUAAUCUUAACAAUUAUAGCCUCUCUUUCAGCACAGGCCUUGGUUGUAACAUUAAGCUUCCUAGUUCACUUAUUUUCUCCUAUACAAACUAUAUAUGUAUUUCUUUCUGCCCCACUGGCUCUGUUUCAUAGCAGAGCUGCAUAAAUGUUAUCAAUAAUAACCAGGCCACAGACCCACGGUUAUACACCCUUGAAAUUCCCACCACCAAAGAAAUGAGUCCAUUAUUUCUAAAUUUAUUCCUCUGUAGGUUCUUAAGGCAUGAGCAGGAGACCAGCAGGGUUUCCCCCCUGACAAAGCAUUACAGUUGCUAAUCCUGUUUUGAGCAGAAACCCCUUGAGGUGGACCAAUAUAGUUUCCAUUGUUCUCAGCACUGCAGUCCUUCGGGAACCUACUCCAAUGGACUACAUUAAGUCUGUUUGCAGUAUUAAGCCACUUUUCAAGCCCAAACUUGGACAUUCCUUGAAAACCAACAUGGUCAAAGUCUUCACAUAAACAGCCCACUCUUUGGUACCAACUUCUGUUGCUAUGAUGAAACAGGGUGACCAAAGCAACUUAUGGAAGAAAGAGUUUAUUUUUACUGACAUUCUAGAGGGCUAAGAGUCCAUAUGGCAGGGAAGGCAUGGCAGGCAGUGGGCCACAAGCAUGGAGAGGUGAGAGAAUUUCAUGAAUCUGAGGCAGAGAUAGAAGACACCCAACACUGAGCUCUGCCCUUCAGACAUGUGCACACCCACCUUACACCCGCACAUACAGGAACAGAAGCAUGUGUGUGCUUUUGACAUGUUAGGGUUUAACAGUGUCCUUCUGAGAGAGGGAAGCCCGGGUGCAGGAAAGCAUUUACUGUGGUUUCCUUACCAGAAGUUCAACUUCAAUUUGUCUACAGCAGUAUAGGGAAGGACAAGGUCUGGCUCACC